GAUGAACGCUAGCGGCAGGCUUAAUACAUGCAAGUCGAGGGGCAGCAGGACUGUAGCACUCCAGUUGCUGGCGACCGGCAAACGGGUGCGGAACACGUACGCAACCUACCCAAAACUGGGGGAUAGCCCGGGGAAACCCGGAUUAAUACCUCGUAACCUUUUUAAGUGGCAUCACUUGAUAAGUAUAGCUCCGGCGGUUUUGGAUGGGCGUGCGCCUGAUUAGGUAGUUGGUGCGGGUAACGGCCCACCAAGCCUGCGAUCAGUAACUGGUGUGAGAGCACGACCAGUCACACGGGCACUGAGACACGGGCCCGACGCCUACGGGAGGCAGCAGUAAGGAAUAUUGGUCAAUGGACGCAAGUCUGAACCAGCCAUGCCGCGUGAAGGAUGAAGGUCCUCUGGAUUGUAAACUUCUUUUAUGGGGGACGAAACCCGGAUAUUCUUAUCCGAUUGACGGUACCUCAGGAAUAAGCACCGGCUAACUCCGUG
rnacentral:rRNA from 1 species